CUUUCCUCCAAUAUAGCAUCUUCUGAAGAGAACAUGGAUCGCAUUGAGGGUGAGGGCAAGAAAAUCACACUUGAUCAACAAGCACUACAAAAAACAGACGCUGAUAUGCAUCUUGAUGAUUCACAAAAGAAUGCUGAAGCAAGUGUUGCAGAAACAUCAGAUAAAGUGGCAGUGUCAAUUCCAUCAACCGCUACUACUGAAACGAGCUCUCCAUUGGUAAAUAACUACUCUUUUCAUUUACCCUCGUGUGAUUGUUGCACUAUUGAUACUCUACUAUUUUUGGUUGAAAUUAAUUUUUCUAUUUUUCUGGUUUUAGAUCCCUUCAAUUUCUACUCCCAUGAAGCCUCAAAUAGCAAC